UUCAAAACUUUUACAGGUACAAAUAUAUACAAAAAUGUUCAUUCCACGCACGGGCCUAUGUUAGAAAUGAUGUGAUUGCACAAUAUGUCUGGUAACUUCUAUAGUGCUUAUUCAUAAGCUAAAUUAAUUUUGGCUAUGAAAUGCACUAAAGGGGGGUUAUGUCAGGGUAUUUAUAUCGGCAGACAUCUUGUGCUAUGAUAGAAACUAAAAGUGUAUAUUCUUAGUCACUCUGAACAGACCAG